GACGAACGCUGGCGGCGUGCUUAAUGAAUGCGAGUCGAGCGAGAACCGGACUGAGGAAACCUUCGGGUGGAAUCAGUCUGGGGAGAGCGGCAAACGGGUGAGUAACACGUGGGUAACCUGCCCCUCAGACGGGGAUAAUUCGCCGAAAGGCGGACUAAUACCCGAUGGUGAUGUGCCAACACAUGUUGAUACAUCUAAAGGCUCCGGUGCUGAGGGAGGGGUCCGCGGCCGAUUAGCUUGUUGGUAGGGUAACGGCCUACCAAGGCUUCGAUCGGUAGCCGGUCUGAGAGGAUGACCGGUCACACUGGGACUGAGACAUGGUCCAGACUCCUACGGGAGUUAGCAUCAGGGAAUCUUGCGCAAUGGGCGAAAGCCUGAGGGGAGCGACGCCGCGUGGGUGAUGAAGGCCUGCGGGUCGUAAAGCCCUGUCGGGAGGGAAGAAACAGCACCUUCGGGUGCUUUGACUGUACCUCCGGAGGAAGCCCCGGCUAAUUACGUGCCAGCAGCCGCGGUAAUACGUAAGGGGCCAGCGUUGUCCGGAAUUACUGGGCGUAAAGAGCACGUAGGCGGUUAGGAAAGCGAUAGGUGAAAUCCCCCGGCUCAACCGAGGAACUGCUUAUCGAACUGCCUGACUAGAGCACGGGAGAGGGCACUGGAAUUCCUGGUGUAGCGGUGGAAUGCGUAUAUAUCAGAGGAACACCGGUGGCGAAAGCUGGUGCCUGGAACGUUGCUGACGCUAAGUGCGAAAGCCAGGGGAACAAACGGGAUUAGAUACCCCGGUAGUCCUGGCCGUAAACGAUGGACACUAGGUGUUGGAGGUUCGACCCCUUCAGUGCUGUUAAGCUAACGCGUUAAGUGUCCCGCCUGGGGAGUACGGUCGCAAGGCUGAAACUCAAAGGAAUUGACGGGGGCCCGCACAAGCGGUGGAGCAUGUGGGUCAAUGGGAUGAUACGCCGAGAACCUUACCAGGGCUUGACAUGACCCUGAUCCCCUGCGAAAGCAGGUCUUCUGGGCAACCAGACAGGGCCACAGGUGGUGCAUGGUUGUCGACAGCUCGUCCCCUGAGAUGUUGGGUUAAGUCCCGCAACGAGCGCAACCCUCGCCGGAUGUUGCCAGCGGUUAGGCCGGGCACUCUUCCGGGACUGCCGGAGUAAUCCGGAGGAAGGGGGGGAUGACGUCAAAUCUGCAUGCCCCUUAUGUCCUGGGCUGCACACGUGCUACAAUGGCGAGUACAAAGGGUCGCGAAGCCGCGAGGCCCAGCUAAUCCCCAAAAACUCGUCCCAGUUCGGAUUGGAGUCUGCAACUCGACUCCAUGAAGUCGGAAUCGCUAGUAACCGUGGAUCAGCAAUGCCGCGGUGAAUACGUUCCCGGGCCUUGUACACACCGCCCGUCAAGUCACGGAAGCCGACAGCACCCCAAGUCCGCUACGGCGGCCCAAGGUGAGGUCAGUGACUGGG
rnacentral:rRNA from 1 species